rnacentral:tRNA from 1 species
GCGUCUGUAGCUCAGCUGGAUAGAGCGUCGGCCUCCGGAGCCGAAGGUCGCAGGUUCGAAUCCUGUCAGGCGCA